rnacentral:rRNA from 1 species
AUGAGGAAGCAUGACACUUUGGCCAUCCCGGCCCCGCCGUCGAAUCUGCAAGAGGAUUUUGCAAGGAUGUUGAAGGACGAGGAAGGCGCGGAUGUAACGUUCAUCGUGGGUGACAAAUCGUUCCGUGCUCAUAGACACGUGCUGGCGGCACGAUCACCGGCCUUCAGGGCAGAGCUUUUGGACCCGACGAAGGAGGACCCUACAAAACCCGUCAAGGUUGAUGACAUGGACCCCGUCAUCUUCGAGGCGCUUCUUUAUUUCAUGUACACGGAUACGCUCCCACAUGGUUGUGAUCUUGAGAAAAACGCGACGCUGCAACAUUUGUUCGUUGUCGGAGUUCGAUAUGGCCUGGACAGGCUAGCGACGAUGUGCGAAGGGAAACUAUGCCAAAACAUAAACGAGCAAACAGUGGCAGCCGCCCUAACUUUGGCAGAGUGGUAUGACCGCGUCCUUCUCAAAAAUGCUUGCAUCGCAUUUGUGUCGUCGCAGGAUGUGCUCGACGCCAUGAAGGAGACCAAUGGAUUCAAGCACCUCAUGACACGCUAUCCGGGGGUGAUGGUGGAUAUUUUGAAACAGAAUCUGCCGUCGUCAAUAGGGGUACGUGUAAUUUAUGGUAGAAUUGUCUUUAAAUAA